rnacentral:rRNA from 1 species
UACGGAGGGUGCGAGCGUUGUCCGGAAUCAUUGGGCGUAAAGGGCGCGUAGGUGGCGGGACAAGCGUGCGGUGAAAGCCUGGGGCUCAACCCCGGGUCGGCCGUGCGAACUGUUUUGCUUGAGCACUGUAGAGGCGGGCGGAAUUCCGGGUGUAGCGGUGGAAUGCGUAGAGAUCCGGAAGAACACCGGUGGCGAAGGCGGCCUGCUGGGCAGUAGCUGACACUGAGGCGCGACAGCGUGGGGAGCAAACAGG